CGCGUAGGCGGGUCUGUUAGUCAGAGGUGGAAUCCUGCGGCUCAACCGUAGAACUGCCUUUGAUACUGCAGAUCUUGAGUAUGGAAGAGAGUGACGGAAUUCCAGGUGUAGUGGUGAAAUACGUAGAUAUCUGGAAGAACACCAGUGGCGAAGGCGGUCACUUGGUCCAUUACUGACGCUGAGGCGCGAAAGCGUGGGGAGCAAACA
rnacentral:rRNA from 1 species